rnacentral:rRNA from 1 species
UGGGGAAUUUUGGACAAUGGGCGAAAGCCUGAUCCAGCAAUGCCGCGUGUGUGAAGAAGGCCUUCGGGUUGUAAAGCACUUUUGUCCGGAAAGAAAUCCUCUGGGUUAAUACCUCGGGGGGAUGACGGUACCGGAAGAAUAAGCACCGGCUAACUACGUGCCAGCAGCCGCGGUAAUACGUAGGGUGCAAGCGUUAAUCGGAAUUACUGGGCGUAAAGCGUGCGCAGGCGGUUUUGUAAGACGGAUGUGAAAUCCCCGGGCUUAACCUGGGAACUGCAUUCGUGACUGCAAGGCUAGAGUAUGGCAGAGGGGGGUUAGAAUUCCACGUGUAGCAGUGAAAUGCGUAGAGAUGUGGAGGAAUACCGAUGGCGAAGGCAGCCCCCUGGGCCAAUACUGACGCUCAUGCACGAAAGCGUGGGGAGCAAACAGGAUUAGGAUACCCUGGUAGUCCACGCCCUAAACGAUGUCAACUAGUUGUUGGGGAUUCAUUUCCUUAGUAACGUAGCUAACGCGUGAAGUUGACCGCCUGGGGAGUACGGUCGCAAGAUUAAAACUCAAAGGAAUUGACGGGGAUCAUAGCUG